AGUGGUUUUAGUGAAACCUUAUAGAGGGUUUUCCAGAAGAUGAUUCAAUGAUAAAAAGUGGAUGAAGAGGAAGUGCAGAAUCCGAAGACACAGAAAUAAGACCAGAGCCCAAGUUGUAUACUCCAAGUAUGCUGGAACAUAGUUGGAAGGGCCUGACCAUAUAUUGUUAAAGGAGGAUG